rnacentral:rRNA from 1 species
UGGGGAAUAUUGCACAAUGGGCGCAAGCCUGAUGCAGCCAUGCCGCGUGUAUGAAGAAGGCCUUCGGGUUGUAAAGUACUUUCAGCGGGGAGGAAGGUGUUGUGGUUAAUAACCACAGCAAUUGACGUUACCCGCAGAAGAAGCACCGGCUAACUCCGUCCCAGCAGCCGCGGUAAUACGGAGGGUGCAAGCGUUAAUCGGAAUUACUGGGCGUAAAGCGCACGCAGGCGGUCGGUCAAGUCGGAUGUGAAAUCCCCGGGCUCAACCUGGGAACUGCAUCCGAAACUGGCAGGCUUGAGUCUUGUAGAGGGGGGUAGAAUUCCAGGUGUAGCGGUGAAAUGCGUAGAGAUCUGGAGGAAUACCGGUGGCGAAGGCGGCCCCCUGGACAAAGACUGACGCUCAGGUGCGAAAGCGUGGGGAGCAAACA